rnacentral:rRNA from 1 species
AGUGAACGCUGGCGGUAGGCCUAACACAUGCAAGUCGAACGGCAGCACAGAGGAGCUUGCUCCUUGGGUGGCGAGUGGCGGACGGGUGAGGAAUACAUCGGAAUCUACUCUGUCGAGGGGGAUAACGUAGGGAAACUUACGCUAAUACCGCAUACGCCCUACGGGUGAAAGCAGGGGAUCUUCGGACCUUGCGCGCAUUAAUGAGCCGAUGUCGGAUUAGCUAGUUGGCGGGGUAAAGGCCCACCAAGGCGACGAUCCGUAGCUGGUCUGAGAGGAUGAUCAGCCACACUGGAACUGAGACACGGUCCAGACUCCUACGGGAGGCAGCAGUGGGGAAUAUUGGACAAUGGGCGCAAGCCUGAUCCAGCCAUACCGCGUGGGUGAAGAAGGCCUUCGGGUUGUAAAGCCCUUUUGUUGGGAAAGAAAUCCAUCUGGUUAAUACCCGGGUGGGAUGACGGUACCCAAAGAAUAAGCACCGGCUAACUUCGUGCCAGCCGCCGCGGUAA